rnacentral:rRNA from 1 species
UACGUAGGGUGCAAGCGUUGUCCGGAAUUAUUGGGCGUAAAGAGCUCGUAGGCGGUCUGUCGCGUCUGCUGUGAAAAUCAGGGCUCAACCCUGGACCUGCAGUGGGUACGGGCAGACUAGAGUGCGGUAGGGGAGAUCGGAAUUCCUGGUGUAGCGGUGAAAUGCGCAGAUAUCAGGAGGAACACCGGUGGCGAAGGCGGGUCUCUGGGCAAACAACGUGACGUGAGGAGCGAAAGCGUGGGGAGCGAACAGGA